UCUAAAAUUGACAGAAAACGUCAAAAAUAUCAGAUUAAUUAAAAAUGCACAAAAAAAUGUAAUGAUUAAUUUCUCAGUGUUGGAAAGGUUUUAUCCACAAUGUGCCUUCGUGUCUGUGAAUUUUGGACAUGGCGUUUAAUGUCCAUGUAUAUUGCUUGCGUCGGGAUCUUCGUGGCUUUUAUAUUUGGACCCCUUCAAACUGUCGUAUAUCUUACAGAUCAGCAUUCCGAGAUGUCCAGACUAAUCAAGAAUGAACUCAAUCUAGCUGUAAUGCUCUGGUUCAUCGUUGCUUUCAUGUGGCUGAUCCUAAUUGCGAAUGUUAUUCUAUUCUUUGGUUGUUUCUAUAAUAAUAACAAAUUAGUUAUGAUGUAUUUCUACGCUAUUCUGUUCCAUUUGAUCGUGGCAUUUAAUCUGUGUAUUAGAUACGCCAUCUUGUGUUCGUUUUUCGACAACAAAUGCUUCGAUCAUUCACUUGACAGAAAUAGUGAUGACAGUUUUACUGGUGUUGGUAUCAUUUUCGCAUUCCUAACCUACACCGUCGCUUGGUCUGUCAUACUCUUCAUUGUUUGGAAUUACAAGUUAACAUUACCUGUGUCUUA